GAUGAAGAAUAGCGAAAUGCGAUAAGUAGUGUGAAUUGCAGAAUUCAGUGAAUCAUCGAAUCUUUGAACGCACAUUGCGCCCCAUGGUAUUCCGUGGGGCAUGCCUGUUCGAGCGUCAUUUACCCCCUCAAGCUCCGCUUGGUGUUGGGCGUCUGUCCCGCUUCGCGCGCGGACUCGCCCCAAAGGUAUUGGCAGCGGUCGUGCCAGCUUCUCGCGCAGCACAUUGCGCUUCUCGAGGCACCGGUGGGCCCGCGUCCAUCAAGCUCACCCCCCCAGUUUGACCUCGGAUCAGGUAGGGAUACCCGCUGAACUUAAGCAUAUCAAUAAGCGGAGGA
rnacentral:misc_RNA from 1 species